rnacentral:rRNA from 1 species
AUUGAACGCUGGCGGCAUGCCUUACACAUGCAAGUCGAACGGCAGCACGGACUUCGGUCUGGUGGCGAGUGGCGAACGGGUGAGUAAUGUAUCGGAACGUACCUUUCAGUGGGGGAUAACGUAGCGAAAGUUACGCUAAUACCACAUAUUCUGUGAGCAGGAAAGCAGGGGAUCGCAAGACCUUGCGCUGAUUGAGCGGCCGAUAUCAGAUUAGCUAGUUGGUGGGGUAACGGCCUACCAAGGCAACGAUCUGUAGCGGGUCUGAGAGGAUGAUCCGCCACACUGGAACUGAGACACGGUCCAGACUCCUACGGGAGGCAGCAGUGGGGAAUUUUGGACAAUGGGGGCAACCCUGAUCCAGCCAUGCCGCGUGAGUGAAGAAGGCCUUCGGGUUGUAAAGCUCUUCCGGCCGGGAAGAAAUCGCAUCAGCUAAUACCUGGUGUGGAUGACGGUACCGGAAUAAGAAGCACCGGCUAACUACGUGCCAGCAGCCGCAGUAA